rnacentral:rRNA from 1 species
CCUACGGGCGGCAGCAGUGAGGAAUAUUGGUCAAUGGUCGGGAGACUGAACCAGCCAAGCCGCGUGAGGGAUGAAGGUACAGAGUAUCGUAAACCUCUUUUGUCAGGGAACAAAGGCGGGGACGUGUCCCCGGAUGAGUGUACCUGAAGAAAAAGCAUCGGAUAACUCCGUGCCAGCAGCCGCGGUAAUACGGAGGAGGCGAGGUUUAACCGGAUUUAUUGGGUUUAAAGGGAGAGCAGGCGGUCGGUUAAGUAAGCGGUAAAAGCCCGGGGCACAACCCCGGCCCGCCGUUGAAACUGGCAGUCUCGAGUUAGAGAGAAGUAUGCGGAAUGCGCGGUGUAGCGGUGAAAUGCAUAGAUAUCGCGCAGAACUCCGAUUGCGAAGGCAGCAUGCCGGCUCCACACUGACGCUGAGGCACGAAAGCGUGGGUAUCGAACAGGAUUAGAUACCCCAGUAGUC